rnacentral:tRNA from 1 species
AUAGCUCAGGGGUAGAGCGUGUGCUUAGCAAGCACGAGGUCCUGGGCUCAACCCCCAGU